rnacentral:lncRNA from 1 species
UAUUCACAGGUGCAAUCAUAGUGCACUACAGCCUCAAACUCCUAGCCUCAAGCAAUCCUCAUGCCUCAGCCUCCAGAGUAGCUGGGCCUACAGGUACUUAACACCUCAUCUGGCAUCCCCCAGUCAGAUAUUUGGAUGAGACCCCUGCCUUGGCUAACACCUUGAUGAAAACCUGUGGAAGGUUCUAAGGCAGGACCCUCAGCGCAGCCACUUCUCCAGGCACUCGGCAGAGAGAACGCGCGUAGGCGUUGCCCUGGCAACGCCGGGAUGCCCAGCAACAAGUCCGCGGCGUGUAUCACGUGCUCGGCGCGGACCAAUCCGAGGGCCCGCCGGGAAGCAGGAGCAAUAGCAAAAAUUGGGAAUGGGAAGAAACAGGUACCAGCCAGGACACCUGAACGAACUUGGAGCUCAGGAACCCAGGAGGGGAUUGGAGAGAGUGGGGAGACUCCAUGGUCCACAAUGAAUGCUCCUUCCCCAUCCGAAAAAAUCCCCUAGCCCAGUUUUUGGGCAGAUGCCAGACUUUUAUUCUGAAGCGUGGGCCACAACCUAUGAGGUAAUCUUUGGAGCUUCAUUCUGAGGCGGAAUCCCAUUGGCCAGUUGGGGAAGCCCCUCCCAGGAUUCCUGGCGCUCCGCCUUCCCUGAAGCCUAUAAAAGCGCAGGUCCCCGCCUCGGCAGCCACGGGACACCUGCAUCUGCCAACAAGACUGGAAGCAGAAAGGGACAGAGACGGCGAAGUUUGACGGUCUGGAAAGCAGAGACCAGCAGGGCUGACUGCUUGGGAGCACCAAAUAUCCGGACAGCGCCUCUCGGGAGGUCCGAGAAGAGAACCGCGAUCUGUUUCAGCACCGGGGCUCAGGACAGUUCCCAGCGGGCUCCGUUUCGUCUCCAGAACCCUGGACAGCUCCUCCAGAGACGGGGUUUCACCAUGUUGGCCAGGCUGGUCUCAAACUCUUGACCUCUUCAUCCGUCCACCUCAGCCUCCCAAAGUGCUAGGAUUACAGGCGUGAGUCACUGCGCCUGGCCCAAGUCCGGAAUUUUCAACAGGACAUGGGUGUUACUGUGCCCAUGUGACAUUUGGGGAACCCAAGGCCCUGAGAAAGGCAGAAAAAUAACCCACGCAGGGACUCUCAGCCCACAAGUGAAGCUGAGAACCGGGAAUGGAAAACAGGGAGGCAGCACAGAGGCAGGAAACUCAGGUGUCAUAGCUUGGCUCAGCUUGGAAUGCACUCCCUCCACCUCCAACCAGAGCUCCCCACAACUGACCCUGCCUUCUUCUGCAAGCUCCAUUUCAUCAAGGGAAACGAUCCUUAUUGCCUCACCAUUUCCCACGUGAAGUCUGUAUUGACAUUCUCAUAGACCUGGGAUAUUGUGUCUGCAGCACAUAGUCCAAUUAUUUUCAUGUUAUCUACUGACAGGUCUAUUUGUCUCCCUGUUACACUGUGAGCUCCGUGAGGGCAGAAACAAUGUUAGUAUUUUCACUGCUGUGUCCCCAGCGCCUGGUCCGGGGCCCGGCACACAGCAGGCAUAUAAUAAGCAUGUGUUGAAUCAAUAAAGGCAUCAAAGAAUAAACCAAUACAUCAAUCAAUAAAUGAAUGAAUGGCCUCAGCACACACAGGAAGAUCCUUCUUCUAGGUCUCCCCCAGAGAGAUACUGGAGGGCAAUGGUUGCUGGAGGUGUUUAUUGGGGAAGCAUAAUUGAAUUUGUGGACACUUAAGGGCCGGCCAGCCAACUCACAGCCCCAAGAGAGAGAGCCAGGCUCAUUUAAUUAGCAAUUACAAGGCACUGAUUCCUCAUUAGCUCUGGCAACCCUCGUCUCCCUCCUCAGCCCCAGACAAAUGAAAUCUUUCUCUCUCUCCCAGGAGUACUGCCUCAGUGGGUCCAUUAACAAGCAGAGAAAAUGAGAUUAGAAGACACCUAAAUGCCAGAGGCACUUUAUGAAUGGGCUGAGCAGAGGGAGGUUCAAUGUCUGGGUUAGGUCUAAUUGUGGGAGGUUUCCUGGUCUAUUUAGAAUUGCCCCCUGGGAAUGCAAGGUCUUUCAGAAAGGAAAAGGCACACAGAUAUUGCCUUCUGGGGUCCUCAAUGGAGGAGGACAUUCUGCUAUGGGUGUCUCCCAGUCACCCCAAAUUAAUCAUUUCAAAGUGAACACUCAAUCUGCCCAGCCCCUAGCUUCCUCCCCUGACAUGCCCAUGAAUAUGACAGUCCCUCUACAUGCCCAAGAUCCUCCCCUCCUCAUCCACUCCCCAUGAUCCCCAAGAUGAGUCACUGUGCUCAAAUCCAUCCUCUCUCCUCCAGCCCUCUGCCUCCAUGACCUCCCUCCAGCCCUCUGCCUCCAUGACCUCCGCCUCCCUGCAUGUCCGGAUCUCCUCACUGUCUCCCCUCUGAGCAUACACACACAUACAGCCUGUUCAUUCUCUACAUGCAGCGAGGGGACUUUCCAGAACACACAUCUGACCAAGUUCCACUCCUGCCUGUCACCCUUCCAAGAGCCCCACUGACUGCAGAAUAACGUUCAAAUAUCCGGUUGGGCGUGGUGGCUCAUGCCUGCAGUCCCAGCACUUUGGGAGGCCAAGGUGGGUGGAUCACUUGCACAGGACCACAGGCGUGUGCCACCACACCCAGCUAAUUUUUAUAUUUUUGGUAGAGACGGAGUUUCACCAUGUUGGCCAGGCUGACCUCAAGUGAUCCACCCGCCUCAACCUCCCAAAGUGCUGGGAUUACAGGCAUGAGUCACUGCACCGGUCUAAUUUUUUCAGAGUCUCACUCUUGCCCAGGCUGGAGUGCAGUAGCAUGAUCUCGGUUCACUGCAACCUCUGCCUCCUGGUUUCAAGCGAUUCUCUUGGCUCAGCCUCCUGAGCAGCUGGGAUUACAGGCACGUGCCACCACACUUAGCUAAUUUUUGUAUUUUUAGUAGAGAUGGGGGUCUCACCAUGCUGGCACAGUUGGUCUUGAACUCCUGACCUCAAGUGAUCCACCCACCUCGGCUUCCCAAAGUGCUGGGAUUACAGACGUGAGCCACCGCGCCCGGCCAGCCUUUAUUGAUUCUUUUUAAAGCCACACUAACCUUUUAUUUUCCCCCAAAGACCCCUGGGAGCCCUCAGUUUUUCCUGGCAGUUUCAUCUUUGUACCCCUGACCUCCCCACACACACGCCUAGCUCAGUGCUGGCAUCCAAUAUUCACUUUGGGUAUAAAUGCUUGUGCCUGAGCCUAUCACCUUCAUCACACAGAAAAUCCUGGAGGCCACACACCCCUGUAAAGACGAGCCAUUACCCACAGAGGUCCAACCAACUUACCACCCUCUCCCAGCCACCCCCAAGGACCCAGCUUGCAGCUGCCUGCUCAAUGGCUUUAGAAACUAAAAAAGGUGAAUGAGUUUCCAUCACUGCCCUCCUGGGCUUUGCCGUUAUGGCUGGUUAACUUGACAGAAGAACACAUUAUACUUCAUUUUUUGCUGUUGUCUUGUUGGAAAAAAAAGUGACAGCUGGGUGCAGUGGUGCACACUGUAGUCACAGCUACUCAGGAGAAUUGCUUGAGCACAGGAAUUGGAGGCUACACUGAGCAAUGAUCGCCUCACUGCACUCCAGCCUGAACGACAGAGCAAGACCCUCUUAAAAAAUACGUGAGAGAGGGUGCGUAUGAUGGCUCAUGCCUGUAAUCCCAGCAGUUUG